rnacentral:miRNA from 1 species
GAGAGUGCGUGAAAUGAAGAGA